rnacentral:lncRNA from 1 species
GGUUCCUGAGAUAAAGGCGAAUGAAAUGGCACUUAACCUAAAUUAUUACUGGAACCUUAAUUAAAUAUCUGCAUGCAUAAAAUUUUCUUUUACUCAUUGGCUUCUUCCCCAAAACACUGGAUUUAGGAACUUGGGUUUCUCAAACUCUCCCUUUAUCCUUUGUUUAAAAUUACAUUUUAAAAACUCAUUCUUCCAUCUGAGUCCUGGCAGUAUACCCAGAGCUGUAUAAGCAAGGACAUGUUUGCUGACUAAAGACUUACUAUUUCACAAAAUACAACUCACUGUGUACAAAAGACCAAGCUUUGAGCAAUGAAGAAUUUCACCAAGAUAAAACUACUAUUUUCAGGCUGCUUGUGGCUCAGCCUCUGUUUGACUCACAUAUUUUGUGAAGCCUUUGUUCAAAAUGAGUCUCUCCUGAUUGCAGCACAGCAGUAGGCGUUUUGGUUGGUUGGAACCACUGGAGUGGCCCAUGAUUCUUUCAGCCUUAG